rnacentral:tRNA from 1 species
CAGAAGGUAGUUUAUGUAAAAUUUUAAUAUUGGAAAUUAGUGAUUGAGGAAGGCCUUAUCUUCUGA